rnacentral:rRNA from 1 species
UACAGAGGGUGCAAGCGUUGUUCGGAAUUAUUGGGCGUAAAGGGCGCGUAGGCGGUGCGGUAAGUCUGUAGUGAAAUCUCUGGGCUCAACUCAGAGUCUGCUGCAGAAACUGCCGUGCUUGAGUGUGGGAGAGGUGAGUGGAAUUCCGUGUGUAGGGGUGAAAUCCGUAAAUAUACGAAGGAACGCCAAAAGCGAAGGCAGCUCUCUGGGUCCCUACCGACGCUGGGGUGCGAAAGCAUGGGGAGCGAACAGG